rnacentral:tRNA from 1 species
GACCCCAUCGUCUAGAGGCCUAGGACUCUGGCCUUUCACGCCAGUAACACGGGUUCGAAUCCCGUUGGGGUCG